rnacentral:rRNA from 1 species
AGGUAAAGGCUCACCAAGCCGACGAUCUGUAGCUGGUCUGAGAGGACGACCAGCCACACUGGGACUGAGACACGGCCCAGACUCCUACGGGAGGCAGCAGUGGGGAAUUUUGGGACAAUGGGCGCAAGCCUGAUCCAGCAAUGCCGCGUGCAGGAUGAAGGCCUUCGGGUUGUAAACUGCUUUGUACGGAACGAAACGGUGAGCUCUAAUACAGUUUGCUAAUGACGGUACCGUAAGAAUAAGCACCGGCUAACUACGUG